rnacentral:rRNA from 1 species
CACGCUGUAAACGAUGAAUGCUAGGUGUAGCGGGUAUCGACCCCUGCUGUGCCGCAGUAAACACAAUAAGCAUUCCGCCUGGGGAGUACGGCCGCAAGGUUGAAACUCAAAGGAAUUGACGGGGGCCCGCACAAGCAGCGGAGCAUGUCGUUUAAUUCGAUGCAACGCGAAGAACCUUACCAGGUCUUGACAUCCAACUAAUCCCAUGGAGACAUGGGGUCCCUUCGGGGGAGUUGAGACAGGUGG